AUUUGAGACAAAUGUUCACGUUUGUAAAAAUAUAGACUUGAAACAAUAUCGUUUAUAUUUUUCAAAAUCUAUUGUAUAAAUGCUGAUUAUUUACGCGCAUUUAUUGCAAUCUGAAUGAAGCGUCUACAUCGUUGAAUUCAAUGCUUAAAGACCUUGGUAAAGCUGUGAAAUAAAAAGAAAUUAAUACCAAUUAAAUUUCACGUCGAUUGACUUUGUCGUGAGUGAGAUGGGCAUUCAAGGGCUUUUACCGUUGUUAAAAUCGAUCCAGCAGCCGAUUUGUAUCUCGGAGUUAGCAGGGAGUACUAUAGGGGUGGAUGUUUACUGUUGGCUACACAAGGGAGCUUAUGGAUGUGCUUUAGCACUGGCUGAAGGAAACGACUCAGAUUUGUAUGUUUGUUUUGCGUCUCAUCUCCUAUAAAGCAAAAAAGAAGCAUGAUGGCUUUAAUAUGUGGUUAUUAAUCGACUAGGC